rnacentral:rRNA from 1 species
AAGCAAUUAUACAGCGAAACUGCGAAUGGCUCAUUAUAUAAGUUAUCGUUUAUUUGAUAGUACCUUACUACUUGGAUAACCGUGGUAAUUCUAGAGCUAAUACAUGCUAAAAAUCCCGACUUCGGAAGGGAUGUAUUUAUUAGAUUAAAAACCAAUGCCCUCUGGGCUCCUUGGUGAUUCAUAAUAACUUUUCGAAUCGCAUGGCCUUGCGCCGGCGAUGGUUCAUUCAAAUUUCUUCCCUAUCAACUUUCGAUGUUUGGGUAUUGGCCAAACAUGGUCGCAACGGGUAACGGAGGGUUAGGGCUCGACCCCGGAGAAGGAGCCUGAGAAACGGCUACUACAUCCAAGGAAGGCAGCAGGCGCGCAAAUUACCCAAUCCCGAUUCGGGGAGGUAGUGACAAUAAAUACUGAUACAGGGCUCUUUUGGGUCUUGUAAUUGGAAUGAGUACAAUUUAAAUCCCUUAACGAGGAACAAUUGGAGGGCAAGUCUGGUGCCAGCAGCCGCGGUAAUUCCAGCUCCAAUAGCGUAUAUUAAAGUUGUUGUGGUUAAAAAGCUCGUAGUUGAACCUUGGGCCUGGCUGGCCGGUCCGCCUCACCGCGUGUACUGGUCCGGCCGGGCCUUUCCCUCUGUGGAACCUCAUGCCCUUCACUGGGUGUGGCGGGGAAACAGGACUUUUACUUUGAAAAAAUUAGAGUGCUCCAGGCAGGCCUAUGCUCGAAUACAUUAGCAUGGAAUAAUGAAAUAGGACGUGUGGUUCUAUUUUGUUGGUUUCUAGGACCGCCGUAAUGAUUAAUAGGGACAGUCGGGGGCAUCAGUAUUCAAUUGUCAGAGGUGAAAUUCUUGGAUUUAUUGAAGACUAACUACUGCGAAAGCAUUUGCCAAGGAUGUUUUCAUUAAUCAGGAACGAAAGUUAGGGGAUCG